UAUACGACUAAAGGAAACAGUACACGAAACAUUCAUCGUAUAACUAACAAAGUGGAAGCUCGUUUUAAAACAACCAUCAACCAUAACACGGAAAAACUCCGCUAUACUUGGCCUAUCAAUCUCGACAAACGCUAUUUGGCCCUGGACCAACUACGCCUCCCCGUAAAACCCGAGCCAAAAUUCAGCAUCCUCUUUGAGGAUAUUCGUAAGACAAAAGUUCCAUGGUCUGGUCCUUUACCAACAACGUCCUUGGCCAUACGGCUGAACACAGUCUUCAUCCAUGCCAUAAUAAUUAAGCGACCACCGCUCCAAUCACUUAAACGGCUAAAGAACAAUCCACGAUUUGUCAUAAAACGCCAAGUGACGAUUACACAGACUAUUUUUCAUAUAACCCAGAGCGGAAAUUAUACGAUAAAUUUUUCCAUAACAAAUUUGAGUCCUAACAACCAAACAGUUAACGGAAAAAUUAAACUUGUCGAUAAUCGACCAAGUUUCACAAUUCACUUUAAGCCUGCAACGUUUUACCUGUAAAACGCAGCAUGUUAGGAAAAACUCAUAACAAAGCUCCUGCAGCUAUACGAAUCAUCUUUAAAAAUGCACGAAAUAAAAUUUCGGAGGGCCGACUCUUCACAAAAGCACAGUGAAGAAAAACGCUUCUUCCCAGGGACAUAUCUACGUGACCCCUUGAUCCUAGUCCCUCAAUCAUAAAUCAAACUACUUAACAUCAAAAAUGGAACAACAAUUUUGGCUGUGAACAUCCGCAGAUAAACCAAG
rnacentral:lncRNA from 1 species